rnacentral:snRNA from 1 species
AUACUCUGGUUUCUCUUCAGAUCGUAUAAAUCUUUCGCCUUUUACUAGAGAUUUCCGUAGAGAGGAACAUUUAUGAGUUUGUAACCAAUUUUUUGAAAAAUUGCUUUGAAAAAUAAA